ACGUUGUAGCGGUGAAAUGCGUAGAGAUUGUGGAGGAACACCAGUGGCGAAGGCGACUCUCUGGUCUGUAACUGACGCUGAGGAGCGAAAGCGUGGGGAGCGAACAGGAUUAGAUACCCUGGUAGUCCACGCCGUAAACGAUGAGUGCUAAGUGUUAGGGGGUUUCCGCCCCUUAGUGCUGCAGCUAACGCAUUAAGCACUCCGCCUGGGGAGUACGGUCGCAAGACUGAAACUCAAAGGAAUUGACGGGGGCCCGCACAAGCGGUGGAGCAUGUGGUUUAAUUCGAAGCAACGCGAAGAACCUUACCAGGUCUUGACAUCCUCUGACGAUCCUAGAGAUAGGACGUCCCCUUCGGGGGCAGAGUGACAGGUGGUGCAUGGUUGUCGUCAGCUCGUGUCGUGAGAUGUUGGGUUAAGUCCCGNCACGAGCGCAACCCUUGAUCUUAGUUGCCAGCAUUCAGUUGGGCACUCUAAGGUGACUGCCGGUGACAAACCGGAAGAAGGUGGGGAUGACGUCAAAUCAUCAUGCCCCUUAUGACCUGGGCUACACACGUGCUACAAUGG
rnacentral:rRNA from 1 species